rnacentral:rRNA from 1 species
CAGUCGCCGCGGUAAUACGGAGGGUGCAAGCGUUAAUCGGAAUUACUGGGCGUAAAGCGCACGCAGGCGGUUUGUUAAGUCAGAUGUGAAAUCCCCGAGCUUAACUUGGGAACUGCAUCUGAAACUGGCAAGCUAGAGUCUUGUAGAGGGGGGUAGAAUUCCAGGUGUAGCGGUGAAAUGCGUAGAGAUCUGGAGGAAUACCGGUGGCGAAGGCGGCCCCCUGGACAAAGACUGACGCUCAGGUGCGAAAGCGUGGGGAGCAAACAGGAUUAGAUACCCCUGUAGUCCCUGUCUCUUAUAC